CCCUUUGGGUGUGACUGCGUACCUUUUGUAUAAUGGGUCAGCGACUUAUAUUCUGUAGCAAGGUUAACCGAAUAGGGGAGCCGGAGGGAAACCGAGUCUUAACCGGGCGUUAAGUUGCAGGGUAUAGACCCGAAACCCGGUGAUCUAGCCAUGGGCAGGUUGAAGGUUGGGUAACACUAACUGGAGGACCGAACCGACUAAUGUUGAAAAAUUAGCGGAUGACCUGUGGCUGGGGGUGAAAGGCCAAUCAAACCGGGAGAUAGCUGGUUCUCCCCGAAAGCUAUUUAGGUAGCGCCUCGUGAAUUCAUCUCCGGGGGUAGAGCACUGUUUCGGCUAGGGGGCCAUCCCGGCUUACCAACCCGAUGCAAACUGCGAAUACCGGAGAAUGUUAUCACGGGAGACACACGGCGGGUGCUAACGUCCGUCGUGAAGAGGGAAACAACCCAGACCGCCAGCUAAGGUCCCAAAGUCAUGGUUAAGUGGGAAACGAUGUGGGAAGGCCCAGACAGCCAGGAUGUUGGCUUAGAAGCAGCCAUCAUUUAAAGAAAGCGUAAUAGCUCACUGGUCGAGUCGGCCUGCGCGGAAGAUGUAACGGGGCUAAACCAUGCACCGAAGCUGC
rnacentral:rRNA from 2 species